UACGUAGGGUGCAAGCGUUGUCCGGAUUCAUUGGGCGUAAAGGGUGUGUAGGUGGCGCGCUAAGUCGGGUGUGAAAUUUCGGAGCUUAACUCCGAAACUGCAUUCGAUACUGCGGUGCUUGAGGACUGGAGAGGAGACUGGAAUUCAUGGUGUAGCAGUGAAAUGCGUAGAGAUCAUGAGGAAGACCAGUGGCGAAGGCGGGUCUCUGGACAGUUCCUGACACUGAGGCACGAAGGCCAGGGGAGCAAACGGG
rnacentral:rRNA from 1 species